CCUACGGGCGGCUGCAGUAGGGAAUAUUGCUCAAUGGGGGAAACCCUGAAGCAGCAACGCCGCGUGGAGGAUGAAGGUUUUCGGAUUGUAAACUCCUUUUGUUAGAGAAGAUAAUGACGGUAUCUAACGAAUAAGCACCGGCUAACUCCGUGCCAGCAGCCGCGGUAAUACGGAGGGUGCAAGCGUUACUCGGAAUCACUGGGCGUAAAGAGCGCGUAGGCGGGAUAGCAAGUCAGAUGUUAAAUCCUAGGGCUUAACCAUAGAACUGCAUUUGAAACUGGUAUUCUAGAGUAUGGGAGAGGUAGGUGGAAUUCUUGGUGUAGGGGUAAAAUCCGUAGAGAUCAAGAGGAAUACUCAUUGCGAAGGCGACCUGCUAGAACAUAACUGACGCUGAUGCGCGAAAGCGUGGGGAGCAAACAGGAUUAGAUACCCGUGUAGUC
rnacentral:rRNA from 1 species